UACGGGGGGAGCAAGCGUUGUUCGGAUUUACUGGGCGUAAAGGGCGCGUAGGCGGCGCAACAAGUCACUUGUGAAAUCUCCGGGCUUAACCCGGAGCGGCCAAGUGAUACUGUCGUGCUAGAGUGCGGAAGGGGCUACUGGAAUUCUCGGUGUAGCGGUGGAAUGCGUAGAUAUCGAGAGGAACACCUGCGGCGAAGGCGGGUAGCUGGGCCGACACUGACGCUGAGGCGCGAAAGCCAGGGGAGCGAACGGG
rnacentral:rRNA from 1 species